rnacentral:rRNA from 1 species
GACGAACGCUGGCGGCAUGCCUAAUACAUGCAAGUCGAGCGAACAGAUGAAGUGCUUGCACUUCUGACGUUAGCGGCGAACGGGAGAGUAACACGUAAGGAAUCUACCUAUAAGCGGGGGAUAACAUUCGGAAACGGGUGCUAAUACCGCAUAAUAUCUUCUUCCGCAUGGAAGAAGAUUGAAAGACGGCUCUGCUGUCACUUAUAGAUGACCUUGCGGUGCAUUAGUUAGUUGGUGGGGUAACGGCCUACCAAGACGAUGAUGCAUAGCCGACCUGAGAGGGUGAUCGGCCACAAUGGGACUGAGACACGGCCCAAACGCCUACGGGAGGCAGCAGUAGGGAAUCUUCCGCAAUGGGCGAAAGCCUGACGGAGCAAUGCCGCGUGAGUGAAGAAGGCCUUCGGGUCGUAAAACUCUGUUAUAAGAGAAGAACAAAUUGUAGAGUAACUGCUACAGUCUUGACGGUAUCUUAUCAGAAAGCACGGCUAACUACGUGCCAGCAGCCGCAGUAA